GCUUGGUCAUGGGCCCCUCGCCGCCUGUCCGCAGGUGGCGUGCCCCAAAACAGUCGGCAGGACCUCGUGUACCGCCGGGCGUAGCAGAUUGUAACGUCCGUGGCGAACGCGAACCGCGCCGUGAAAACCAGGGAGGAGUCAAAUCCCCCCGACCCACAAAGGUUGACCUCGGAUCAGGUAGGGAUACCCGCUGAACUUAA
rnacentral:misc_RNA from 1 species